rnacentral:rRNA from 1 species
CCUAUACAUGCAGUCGAGCGAACAGAAGGGAGCUUGCUCCCGGAUGUUAGCGGCGGACGGGUGAGUAACACGUGGGUAACCUGCCUGUAAGACUGGGAUAACUCCGGGAAACCGGAGCUAAUACCGGAUAGUUCCUUGAACCGCAUGGUUCAAGGAUGAAAGACGGUUUCGGCUGUCACUUACAGAUGGACCCGCGGCGCAUUAGCUAGUUGGUGGGGUAAUGGCUCACCAAGGCGACGAUGCGUAGCCGACCUGAGAGGGUGAUCGGCCACACUGGGACUGAGACACGGCCCAGACUCCUACGGGAGGCAGCAGUAGGGAAUCUUCCGCAAUGGACGAAAGUCUGACGGAGCAACGCCGCGUGAGUGAUGAAGGUUUUCGGAUCGUAAAGCUCUGUUGUUAGGGAAGAACAAGUGCGAGAGUAACUGCUCGCACCUUGACGGUACCUAACCAGAAAGCCACGGCUAACUACGUGCCAGCAGCCGCGGUAAUACGUAGGUGGCAAGCGUUGUCCGGAAUUAUUGGGCGUAAAGGGCUCGCAGGCGGUUUCUUAAGUCUGAUGUGAAAGCCCCCGGCUCAACCGGGGAGGGUCAUUGGAAACUGGGAAACUUGAGUGCAGAAGAGGAGAGUGGAAUUCCACGUGUAGCGGUGAAAUGCGUAGAGAUGUGGAGGAACACCAGUGGCGAAGGCGACUCUCUGGUCUGUAACUGACGCUGAGGAGCGAAAGCGUGGGGAGCGAACAGGAUUAGAUACCCUGGUAGUCCACGCCGUAUACGAUGAGUGCUAAGUGUUAGGGGGUUUCCGCCCCUUAUUGCUGCAGCUAACGCAUUUA